UACGUAGGGUGCAGGCGUUAAUCGGAAUUACUGGGCGUAAAGCGUGCGCAGGCGGCUUCCUAAGUCAGAUGUGAAAUCCCCGGGCUUAACCUGGGAACUGCGUUUGAAACUGGGAGGCUAGAGUGCGGCAGAGGGGGGUGGAAUUCCACGUGUAGCAGUGAAAUGCGUAGAGAUGUGGAGGAACACCGAUGGCGAAGGCAGCCCCCUGGGAUGAGACUGACGCUCAUGUACGAAAGCGUGGGGAGCAAACAGG
rnacentral:rRNA from 1 species